GACUCGUGUCGUGAGAUGUUCGGUUAAGUCCGCUAACGAGCGCAACCCUGCUUGUGUGUUAUAUGUGUCGACACGGGACUGCCGGUCUUAAAGCCGGAGGAAGUGGGGAUGAUGUCAAGUCAGCAUGGCCUUUAUAUCCUGGGCUACACACACGCUACAAUGGCCAACACAAUAGGUUGCUAAGCCGCGAGGUGGCGCCAAUCCAUAAAGUUGGUCUCAGUUCAGAUUGUAGGCUGCAACCCGCCUGCAUGAAGAUGGAGUUGCUAGUAACCGCAGGUCAGCUAUACUGCGGUGAAUACGUUCCCGGGGCUU
rnacentral:rRNA from 1 species